rfam:Triticum aestivum genome assembly, contig: Triticum_aestivum_CS42_TGACv1_scaffold_578061_7BL
AUUAUACUUCCUCUGUCCGGAAAUACUUGUUGAAGAAAUAAAUAAAAAUAGAUGUAUCUAGAACUAAAAUACAUCUAGAUACAUCUAUUUCUUCGAUAAGUAUUUCCAAACGGGGAGAGUACGUU